rnacentral:rRNA from 1 species
GAUCGCGGUGACGUGGGCGGUUCGCUGCCGACGAUGUCGCGAGAAGUCCACUAAACCUUAUCAUUUGAAGGAAGGAGAAGUCGUAAUAAGGUUUCCGUAGGUGAACCUGCGGAAGGAUCAUUGUCGAU